rnacentral:rRNA from 1 species
UACAGAGGUGGCAAGCGUUGCUCGGUAUCACUGGGCUUAAAGGGCGCGUAGGCGGUGCGGUGCGGUUUCGGUGAAAUCCCUCGGCCCAACCGAGGAACAGCCGGGGCUACGGCCGCGCUAGACGGCAUCAGGGGACAGUGGAACUCCCGGUGGAGCGGUGAAAUGCGUAGAUAUCAGGAGGAACACCGGUGGCGAAGGCGGGUCUCUGGGCAGUAACUGACGCUGAGGAGCGAAAGCGUGGGGAGCGAACAGG